CGCACGGGUGAGUAACGCGUAUGCGACCUGCCCGUUGCAGGGGGGAUAAUCGGGAGAAAUCCCGUCUAAUACCGCGUAACGCCGCGGGGCUGCAUGGCCCUGCGGCCAAAGGGAGCGAUUCCGGCAACGGAUGGGCAUGCGUGACAUUAGCUAGUUGGCGGGGCAACGGCCCACCAAGGCGACGAUGUCUAGGGGUUCUGAGAGGAAGGUCCCCCACACUGGUACUGAGACACGGACCAGACUCCUACGGGAGGCAGCA
rnacentral:rRNA from 1 species